rnacentral:lncRNA from 1 species
UAGUAUCAUAAUGUUCGCAUGCUCAGUAUUUUGUUGACGUAAUAUAUAUGAUGAUGACUUACUUAAUUUGAUGAAUUUCAAAAGAAAUUUAAGUUGUAUAGGGUUGCUGUUAACUGCAAACAGAAGAAUACUUGAAGUACAUGUAUUAUAAGGUGUAUACUAUACUACAAUGGUUUAUCAUUUCUCAUAUUAAAAAGUCAAGCUAGUUGGCCCGUUGGCAAGCAAAAUAUUUGUCGCAACGCAUGAAAGAUGCCAAUUACGUUAAGCAACAUGCCGAUUCAAUUCAACAAGAGAAAUACAAUAGGGCUGCUACUAAAUAAAGUGUGUAGGACACAAAUAACACCGAGGGACAUCACUCUACACUAUAACAACCCCAUUAAACGUGUUUAAAUACAGUUAUACAUGGUUGCAAAAGUUGUUGGGUUAAAGUAUGAGUUAAUAGUAUAACUUUAUUAUGAAUGAGUUUAAUGAUAAAUAAGAUAGAUACAGAUAUUCUUAAUAUUCUGUCCUUGUGAGUUUAACUCAAUUGAUAAAGAUAAUGUAUGAUAUAUGUAAGGUUUGAAUUUCGAACUCCAGACACCACAAAAAAAAAAAUGCUUUAAUAUUCUGGACCGAGAUAUUAUUUUCAAUCUCGAUGGUCUUAAAUCAUUGAUCUGGUUCCUUAAAAUAAAAUGAAUCUUAGUGUGGCGUUGCUUCCUUUGUUAUUUCAAUUUAUUUUUACGUUCAUGUACUUUUUAUUUUUUAUUUUUAUGCAUUUGACAUAUUUCAGUCAAAGCUUGUUUGCUU